rnacentral:miRNA from 1 species
GCAGACACAUUCCAGCCAAUCAGCAGCAGACCCUCCCUCCCAGACCCUCCCACCUCCUGGACAGGUCACUAAGAAUGCAGCUUCACAAUGAAUGUAAAAUGGAUGCUGUCCAGGAGGUGGGAGGGUCUGGGAGGGAGGGUCUGCUGCUGAUUGGCUGGAAUGCGUCUG